GGGCUCGUAGUUCAGCGGUAGAACGCUGCUUUUGCAAAGCAGAGGUCAGGGGUUCGACUCCCCUCGGGUCCA
rfam:Candidatus Yanofskybacteria bacterium RIFCSPLOWO2_01_FTLL_49_25 rifcsplowo2_01_scaffold_1085, whole genome shotgun sequence.